rnacentral:lncRNA from 1 species
CUAAGAGUGUCUUAUGCUGCAAGAGGGAGGUUUUCUACUUACAGAGAAAGUGAAAUCCUCUCAAAAUUAACCACUGAUGGACAGAAGUAGAGUUUUCUUGCUGAAACUCUGGGGAUUUAAAAUGAGCAUCUUUUGCACGACCUUCUUACACGAAAAACAGUUGAAACUUAAUGUUCCACAUCAUUCUGCCAUGCAUUAUCUAAAUAAACCUUUGUGAGCUUCAUGGCAUCCAUUUUGAAUUUUCUUGCCCAGCGUAACUAGGGAAGACUACAUCCUCUAGGACCACAUGUACACAGCUGUCAGAGUGUGGUUUCUUGGAUGCAUUUAUU